rnacentral:rRNA from 1 species
AAGGCUCGUCCUCCCAGGGUUAGUCGGGACCUAAGCUGAGGCCGAACGGCGUAGGCGAUGGUCAACAGGUUGAUAUUCCUGUACCAGUUUCUUUUGUUUGACCGAUGGAGGGACGCAGCAGGCUAAGAUAUGCCCACUGAUGGAUGUGGGUGCAAAUAAUAAGUCUGGCGAUGAGUCAAAUGCUUAUCGCUAAGGACAAGUUAUGACGCGGAGGGAAGUACAGUACCGAAGUAUCUGACGUCACACUGCCAAGAAAAGCUUCUAGGGAGAAAGCAACUGCCCGUACCGCAAACCGACACAGGUAGUCGAGAUGAGAAUUCUAAGGUGAGCGAGCGAACUCUCGUUAAGGAACUCGGCAAAAUGACCCCGUAACUUAGGGAGAAGGGGUGCUAACGCAAGUUAGCCGCAGUGA